rnacentral:lncRNA from 1 species
UUCUUCUCGCACUCCUCUGAGUUGAUGAGCCAAAUUCAAUCUAUCAGCUUUGGCUUUGUACAGCUCCAUAUGGGUGUCUUGCUCCUUCUCCCUCAAUCGACGACUCUCCAUCAGAGCUUGCUUAUAGUGCUCAGCAGGCACACUAUCAGCAAGAAUCAAAGGUGGUUGCUCUUGCAACGGUUCCAUCCUAUCGUAGGGUAGCAACAAAGUUUCCACUCUCUUCUUUACCCAAUCAGUGUAAUCAGGCAUGGCUAUGGCAAACUUCUUCCCUAAGACGGAUCCAUCUCU